UACGUAGGGGGCAAGCGUUAUCCGGAUUUACUGGGUGUAAAGGGAGCGUAGACGGUAUGGCAAGCCCGAUGUGAAAGCCCGCAGCUCAACUGCGGGACUGCAUUAGGAACUGUCAAACUAGAGUGUCGGAGAGGCAAGUGGAAUUCCUAGUGUAGCGGUGAAAUGCGUAGAUAUUAGGAGGAACACCAGUGGCGAAGGCGGCUUGCUGGACGAUGACUGACGUUGAGGCUCGAAAGCGUGGGGAGCAAAC
rnacentral:rRNA from 1 species